UACGAAGGGGGCUAGCGUUGCUCGGAAUUACUGGGCGUAAAGCGCACGUAGGCGGGUCGGUAAGUCGGGGGUGAAAUCCUGGAGCUCAACUCCAGAACUGCCUUCGAUACUGAGAGUCUCGAGUCCGAGAGAGGUGAGUGAAACUGCGAGUGUAGAGGUGAAAUUCGUAGAUAUUCGCAAGAACACCAGUGGCGAAGGCGGCUCACUGGCCCGGUACUGACGCUGAGGUGCGAAAGCGUGGGGAGCAAACAGG
rnacentral:rRNA from 1 species